AGGAAAUGUAAAAUGAAAAUCAAAGAUAACAAUCCAUUAAAGGUUGGUGACAUCCGUUGCACUUUGGAGGGGUGUCUAUCUAAGGCCAAUUUAAGAGAUCGAGCCUACAUCAUAAUUUAUAAUAGAGAGGGUCUGCGUUCACGCGGUCCCUAC